GACGACGCUGGCGGCGUGCUUAACACAUGCAAGUCGAACGAGUGGCGGACGGGUGAGUAAUGUCUGGGAAACUGCCCGCUGGAGGGGGAUAACUACUGGAAACGGUAGCUAAUACCGCAUACCAUCGGAUGUGCCCAGAUGGGAUUAGCUAGUAGGUGGGGUAACGGCUCACCUAGGCGACGAUCCCUAGCUGGUCUGAGAUGAUGACCUGCCACACUGGAACUGGGACACGGUCCAGACUCCUACGGGAGGCAGCAGUGGGGAAUAUUGCACAAGGGGCUAAAGCCUGAUGCAGCCAUGCCGCGUGUAUGAAGAGGGCCUUCGGGUUGUAAAGUACUUUCAGCGAGGAGGCGUUACUCGCAGAAGAAGCACCGGCUAACUCCGUGCCAGCCGCCGCGGUAAUAC
rnacentral:rRNA from 1 species